GUGAAUCAUCAAAUUUUUGAACGUAAAUUGCACUCUCUUCGGAGAGUAUGCCUGUUUGAGGGUCAGUAUUAAUAAAAAUCGGUGUGUUGCUUCUUUGUGACGCUCCGGAGUUUGGGUCAUUUUAAUAUCCUUUAGGUUUUAAGAGGCUUAAAAUUGACUUUUUUUUGGGCAUUUUAGUUGUACAUAAUUUUUUUUUUUUAUUCUUCUGUCUUAUGGCUCAAAUUCUUAUUAUAUUCGAC
rnacentral:misc_RNA from 1 species